AUGGGGGUUUUGCAUGAGCCUAUAUCACAGUGUUGGGUGUUCGGCGAAGGCACCAAAUUGGCUGUCCUAGGUCUGCCCAAGUCUACACCUUCAGUCACCCUGUUUUCACAACCAUCUGAGGAGCUCAAGACCAAAAAGCCCACACUGAUGUGUUUGAUUACUGACUUUUACCCAGGUAUUGUGACAGUGACCUGGGAGGCAGAUGGUACACCUAUCACCCAGGGUGCAGACACCACUAAACCUUCUAAACGGACUAACAGUUACUUGUACAUGGCUAGCAGCUGCCUGACCUUGACAGAUGAAGAAUGGAAAUCUAUAAGCAGUGUUAGCUGCCUGGUCACUCAUGAAGGGGACACUGUGGAGAAGAGCUUGUCACCUAGAGUGUGUUUCUAGGCCUUUCAAUGUUCAUCUCACCCACAGAGGCUGGGAUUUGAAUCAUGCACAAGUAUACCUUUACUGCUCUUACCUACCAUAGCCCUUUUCCCUGUUCCUGAAACGCACAAUAAAAUGUCCA